rnacentral:rRNA from 1 species
UACGUAGGGGGCAAGCGUUGUCCGGAAUCAUUGGGCGUAAAGGGUGCGUAGGCGGCGCGGUAAGUCGGGCGUGAAAUCUCGGAGCUUAACUCCGAAACUGCAUUCGAUACUGCCGUGCUGGAGGACUGGAGAGGAGACUGGAAUUUACGGUGUAGCGGUGAAAUGCGUAGAUAUCGUAAGGAAGACCAGUGGCGAAGGCGGGUCUCUGGACAGUUCCUGACGCUGAGGCACGAAGGCCAGGGGAGCAAACGGG